CUUUUUCCACAGUUUGGGAGAGUAAACUUUGACCAGAUCUUUGUUCCUCAUCUUUAUCAUACAUCCCUUAAGAGUGAGGACAACCUCACACUCAGAUGUUGUCAGCUGAAUCCAAGUCCUGCAGUCACUCUUGGCGGCCUUAGGCAAAUUUCUGAGAAAUCGUGACUGUUUACAUCCAGACACACCCUUUUGGACACCGAAGACUGAUCUCCACUCACCCUCCCUUCUCACACUGCCACCAGAGAUACCUGAGGGGGGACAGCGUGGACCAACCAGGCAGAGACUGUGUUCUGUUCAUGGCCUGGGACCAAUAAUGUCUUCUCAACAACAGAGAGUGACGUGGGCCAGACCAAAACGACGUGGUGCCAUUUCUAACUCCAAAUUCAUUUAUUUACUUCUGUGCUAGGUCACUCCGUCCUCCGUGGACUCCCUCCCAGACUGAGGGAGACCCUGUUGGACAGUGUCUUGCACAUCAGCAUUCUUCAGGGUCCUAGUGCCCUUUACAUUGGAAGAGGGGGCCAGAAUACAGCAUGUCUCCCUAGGGGGGCAUGCUAAACUCUACCCCACCUCUUCUUGGCCAGCUUGGAGAGAAGCCUUUCCAUGCUAAGCUACUGGACAACAAUCUUGAGCUUCCUAGAUUUUCAGGUUGGAUGAAGGGAAAUAGCAACCUGUGAUCAAUUCCACAAACAGAUCAUUAGAAACAUCCUCUUGCUGUGAUUCUGGCCCUCAUGGCUAACUCUCCUGUAGAGCUUAGUUAACUCUAAAAAAAUUUUUUUUGAAGGGUAGAUUAAUAUGAGAGCGCCAGAAUCAAAGAAAUGUCCAAAUUGAAAAGGGUUUUACAAAUAAAGGAAGGGGUCUUGGAGUGGGAGUCUACGGAGAUGAAUUCAGUGACUAUCCAAGACUAGAGAGAGCCCUAGGCCAAAGGCAGUUCUGAGGUGAUGGGAGCAAGGUCAAAGCCAUUCCAACUUGGAAGUGAGUGAUCACAGCAGGAGAGAGCUUUCAACUCCCACACCCUAGUCAUUAUACAGUAUUGGAAGCUGUUGCUUUCCUUGGUUUACAGAGGAGGAAUCUGGGCUUUGAAAUUGGUUUCUGCUUUGCAGUGUGUAAUUUUAAGGUCUUAAUAGGCAUUUACAAAUAGUCUCCUUUUUGAAAGAUACUAAGAAGAGAAGCACUAUACAUUAUAUACUACCAUUUUUAGAAAAAAAAGAUCUAUAUAUAUAUUUUGGAUUUUUUUUUUUUUUUUUAAAGAAGGAGCGGGAGAGAGAGAAUCUUAAGCAGGCUCCAUACCCAGCUUGGAGCCUGAUGCAGAGCCCAGCCUGGAGCUCACUAGAGGCUGACAUGGGGCUGGAUCUCACAACCCUGAGUUCAUGACCUGAGCAGAAAUCAAGAGUCUGACACUUAAUCAACUGAGCCACCCAGGCACCCUUCUUCUUGCUUCUAUUAUGCCUACCUUUUAUUUUUCCUAAGGUUGGUACUUCUAAGGUAGGAGGAAUUCAGUUCUAAAAUACAAGCAAUCAAUGGCACCCAGGUGGCUUAGUCGGUUAAGCAUCUGCCUUUGGCUUAGGUCAUAAUCUCACGGUCCUGGGAUCAAGCCCUAUGUCAGGCACCCUGCUCAGUGAGGAGUCUGCUUCUCCCUCCCCCUUUCCCUUUGACCUCCCUGCCCAUGCUUUCUCUCUUGUUCUCUCUCAAAUGGAUAAGUAAGAUCUUUAAAAAAUAAAAUAAAAUUUUUAAAAAGCCAUCAACAGGGCGCCUGGGUGGCUCAGUGGGUUAAGCCGCUGCCUUCGGCUCAGGUCAUGAUCUCAGGGUCCUGGGAUCGAGUCCCACAUCGGGCUCUCUGCUCAGCAGGGGCCUGCUUCCCUCUCUCUCUCUCUGCCUGCCUCUCCAUCUACUUGUGAUUUCUCUGUCAAAUAAAUAAAUAAAAUCUUUUAAAAAAAAAAAAAGCCAUCAACAACUAAAAAUAUAA
ensembl:lincRNA